ensembl:lncRNA
GGAGAACCAGUAUAGUACAGCUCCAUUAGAGAGGAGGAUGGAGAACCAGUCUAGUAUAGCUACAUUAGAGAGGAGGAGGACGGAGAACCAGUAUAGUAUAGCUACAUUAGAGAGGAGGAGGAGGGAGAACCAGUCUAGUAUAGCUACAUUAGAGAGGAGGAGUAGGGAGAACCAGUCUAGUACAGCUACAUAAGAGAGGAGGAGGAGGGAGAACCAGUCUAGUACAGCUACAUAAUAGAGGAGGAGGAGGGAAAACCAGUCUAGUAUAGAUACAUUAGAGAGGAGGAGGGAAAACCAGUCUAGUAUAGACACAUUAGAGAACCAGAGGAGGGAGAACCAGUCUAGUAUAGCUACAUUAGAGAGGAGGAUGGAGAACCAGUCAUGUACAGCUAUAUUAGAGAGGAGGAGGAGAACCAGUCAUGUAAAGCUAUAUUAGAGAGGAGAGAGAGAACCAGUCUAGGAUAGCUACAUUAGAGAGGAGGAGGGAGAAUCAGUCUAGUAUAGCUACAUUAGAGAGGAGGAGGAGGGAGAACCAGUCUAGUAUACCUACAUUAGAGAGGAGGAGGAGGAGGAGGAGGGAGAACCAGUCUAGUACAGCUACAUUAAAGAGGAGGAGGAGGGAGAACCAGUCUAGUACAGCUACAUUAGAGAGGAGGAGGGAGAACCAGUCUAGUACAGCUACAUUAGAGAGGAUGAGGGAGAACCAGUCUAGUACAGCUAAAUUAGAGAGGAGGAGGAAGAACCAGUCUAGUACAGCUACAUUAGAGAGGAGGAGGAGGGAGAACCAGUCUAGUACAGCUACAUUAGAGAGGAGGAGGGAGAACCAGUCUAUUACAGCUACAUUAGAGAGGAGGAGGGAGAACCAGUCUAGUAUAGAUACAUUAGAGAGGAGGAGGAGGGAGAACCAGUCUAGUAUAGAUACAUUAGAGAGGAGGAGGAGGGAGAACCAGUCUAGAAUAGCUACAUUAGGGAGGAGGAGGGAGAACCAGUCUAGUAUAGCUACAUUAGAGAGGAGGAGGGAGAACCAGUCUAGUAUAGAUACAUUAGAGAGGAGGAGUGAGAACCAGUCUAGUAAAGCUACAUUAAAGAGGAGGAGGAGGGAGAACCAGUCUAGUACAGCUACAUUAGAGAGGAGGAGGAGGGAGAACCAGUCUAGUACAGCUACAUUAGAGAGGAGGAGGAGGGAGAACCAGUCUAGUAUAGCUACAUUAGAGAGGAGGAGGGAGAACCAGUCUAGUAUAGAUACAUUAGAGAGGAGGAGUGAAAACCAGUCUAGUACAGC